rnacentral:rRNA from 1 species
UACGAAGGGGGCUAGCGUUGCUCGGAAUGACUGGGCGUAAAGGGCGCGUAGGCGGUUUGUACAGUCAGGUGUGAAAUUCCCGGGCUCAACCUGGGGGCUGCACUUGAUACUAUGGACUGGGAGUGGGGAAGAGGGUCGUGGGAAUUCCCAGUGUAGAGGUGAAAUUCGUAGAUAUUGGGAAGAACACCGGUGGCGAAGGCGGCUCUCUGGGACCGAUACUGACGCUGAGGGCGCGAAAAGCGUGGGGGAGCAAAACAGG